rnacentral:lncRNA from 1 species
UAGUUCCCUUACCACCAUGCCUUAUGGUGUGUUUAAGAAAAUAUAUCAAGGUUCCAUAAUGUUUUUGAAGAUUUUAUGUGUUCUGGUAGGCUUUUCUUGACACGUCUUUCAUAUUUUGAUAUUUGUAAUAUUUUUGGACAAUUUUUCAUUUUUAAUGAAUAUUUCCUUGUCAGGCAUUUUAGUUGCCAUCUCUGUUUUGUGGACUUUUGCACUUACCUUUCUUUUAUUCCAUCUCUGUUUUUGCCCAUGGGGCUACAGAUGACUGCAUGUCCUCCUUCCCCGUCCCUUCACUCCAUGCCCAGUGGGGCUGUGGAUACUUACCUGCUUUUAAUUCGUUUUGUUUUUUCCCUCCUCCUUCUCUUCUUUUUCUUCUAAAUUUGCCCAUCUGGGCUGUGGAUACCUGCUCUUUUUUUUUCCCCCUUAGCCCAUCGGGGCCAUGGAUACCUGCU